rnacentral:rRNA from 1 species
AUAAAGCUAAUAAAAAUGCUAUUAGGUGGAUGACUAGGCUCAAUUGCUGAUGAAGGGCGUGACAAGCGACGAUAUGCUCUGGGGAGCUGCACGUAAGCUUUGAUCCAGAGAUGCCCUAAUGCGACUUCAGCAUCAAAUCCGUAAGGAUGGGGAACGCAGGGAAUUGAAACGUCUUAGUACCUGCAGGAAAAGAAAUCAAUUGAGAUGCUGUGAGUAACAGCGAGCGAAAACAGCAUAAGGCAAACUGAAUCCUUUGUUGAAAGGCAAAGGAGAUGUGGUGUUAUAGUCCAUGUGUUAAAUUCCUAACUUGGAAAGUCAAAGUUGCCUGGAAAGGCGCGCGAUAAAGUGUGAUAGCCACGUAGACGUAACUGGGAAGGAGCUAGCAUGGUAACUUGAGUAUUGUUAACCGGAUACUUAACAAGAAUUUAGGAGGCAUCAACUUCUAACCUUAAAUACAUAUUGAGUCCGAUAGCGAACUAGCGUACAGUGAUGGAAAGUUGAAAAGAACCCUUAGCGGGAAGUAAAAAGAACCUGAAACCUAAUAGCAAUAGUCGGACACGGCGAUGAGUUGUGUCAUACGUUUCGAAUAACGUGCCAGGGAGUUUAUUCGAGUGGCAAGGAUAAUUCUUAAAAGGAAGAAUUCAAAGCGAAAGCAACAGGCUUGCAAUUUAUGAGAAGCGAGGUACGAAAGUGCCUGAAGUCACUUGGAUAUGACCCGAAGCCAGACGAUCUAGCCCAUAGUAAGGUGAAGUUCCGGUAAAACGGAAUGGAGGCCUGUAGGGGUUCUACGAGCAAGUGUUCCUCUAACUUAGGGCUAGGGGUAAAAAGCCAAUCGAGUCUGGCGAUAGCUGGUUCCUACCGAAAUUGGCCGCAGUCAAGCCUUAGGCGAGAUGAUUAGAAGGGUAGAGCUACGGAUUAGGGGCUUAGGUCUCGAAAGAGAUCGGCCCUUUGCCCAACUCCGAAUAAUCUAAUAUCAAAGAACCUAAGAGACGGGGAGUGUUGGGGUAAGCCUCACUUCCGAGAGGGGAACAACCCAGACUGUAGUUAAGGUCCCAAAAUAUCGACUAAGUGUUAACGGGUGAAAGGCGUCCAUUGUCAGAGACAGCGAGGAGGUUGGCUCAGAAGCAGCCACCCUUUAAAAAGUGCGUAACAGCUUACUCGUCAAGACAAUGGGCCCUGAAAAUGGACGGGGCUAAGUCGAUUACCGAUACUACAGACUGCUCAACGAGCAAGUAAUAGGUAGGUGUUCUGUGAGGACAGAAGUACCUUCGAGAGUUGGUAUAGACCUCAUAGAAAUAAGAAUCCUGGCAGUAGUAGGAUCAUAGAUGAGUUAGAAUCUCUUCCACUGAAAGGGCAAGGGUUCCUUGGCAAUGCAGAUCAGCCAAGGGUUAGUUGGUCCUAACCAAACUCAUAAAUUGAGUCGCAGGAAAGGGCAAGAGGUUAAUAUUCCUCUACUAUCUAAGUAUGUGCGGCAACGCAAUUUCUGUUUCUGACGUUUCGGAGUAGAUUAACACAGAUAGCCAUUUGUGUCAACCACCAUAAAUCAAGGGAGUAUCUUAAUGAUGAGAACUUGAUUAAAGAUGGGAUGAGUACUUCUUUGGAGUAUUUAGUUGAUAUCUGGAACCCAUGAAAAAGGAACAGAAGCAAAUCUUAGAUAACCAUACCCAGAACCAGCACAGGUGCCCCUAGGUGAGAAGCCUAAAGUGUAAAGGGAUAAUCCAAAUGAGGGAAUUCGGCAAAUUAGCUCCGUACCUUCGGUAUAAGGAGUCCCUGCUGUUGUUACGCAAGUUGUGACAGCAGGGUGCAAUAACAAAGGGAGCCCGACUGUUUAACAAAAACUUAACUGGCUGCCAGCCCGUAAGGGUGUGUAUAGCCAGUGACGCCUGCCCAGUGCCAGUACUUCAAACUCGGUUUCAACUGAGCUAAGAGCUGGUAAACGGCGGGGGUAACUAUAACUCUCUUAAGGUACCGUAAUACCUUGUCGAUUGAAUGUCGACUUGCAGGAGUGGCGUAACGAGGUUCCCGCUGUCCCCAAUUGGCCCCCUCCGAACUCUCUAUCCUGGUGCAGAGGCCAGGGAUCUCCAGUGGGAAGUGAAGACCCCGUGAAACUUUACUGUAGCUUAUUGUUGCGACGUGGGUCUUAUUGUGUAGUGUAGGUGGUAGUUUACCAAUCGCAAGAUUGAAUAAACGACAAUGAAACACCACUCUUCGAGACUUACGUUGCUAACUCAGCAAUGAGGACAGCAGUAGGUAGACAGUUUGGCUGGGGUGGCACCCUGCUGAAAAGAUAUCAGCAGGGCCCAAUGGUUGGCUCAAGUGGGUCAGUAAUCCACUGUAGAGUGCAAGGGCAAAAGCCAGCCUGACAGGAUGACUUAUAUGAGGGCAUCCUGAGUAGAAAUACUGGCCUAGCGAACCUCUAUGUCCUCCUUGAUGGGGGCUAGAGAUGACCGAAAAGUUACUCCGGGGAUAACAGAGUCGUCCCGCCCGAGAGUUCACAGAUGGAAAAAUUUAUUUUUUCCUCAGAACAUAUCGACGGCGGGGCUUGCUACAUCGAUGUCGGCUUUUCCUAUCCUGGCUGUGCAGAAGCAGCCAAGGGUGCGGGUGUUCACCGAUUAAAAGGGAUCAUGAGCUGGGUUCAGAACGCUGUGAGGCAGUUUGUUUAAUAUCUACUGGAGAUGUUGAUGUCAGAAAGGAAGGACUUCUUAGUACGAGAGGAACGGAAGUUCGGCGCCUCUGGUCCACCUGUUAUCUAGCAAGGUAAGCAGGGCAGCUACGCGCUAAGGGAUAAGUGCUGAAUGCAUCUAAGCACGAAACCCCCCUUGAAAAGAGACAUCUUAGA